rnacentral:rRNA from 1 species
ACAGAGGGUGCAAGCGUUAAUCGGAAUUACUGGGCGUAAAGCGCGCGUAGGUGGCUUAAUAAGUCAGAUGUGAAAGCCCCGGGCUUAACCUGGGAACUGCAUCUGAUACUGUUAGGCUCGAGUAUGGGAGAGGGAAGUAGAAUUUCAGGUGUAGCGGUGAAAUGCGUAGAGAUCUGAAGGAAUACCGAUGGCGAAGGCAGCUUCCUGGCCUAAUACUGACACUGAGGUGCGAAAGCGUGGGUAGCAAACAGG